AUUGAACGCUGGCGGCAGGCUUAACACAUGCAAGUCGAGCGGGGGAGGUUACUUCGGUAAUUGACCUAGCGGCGGACGGGUGAGUAAUACUUAGGAAUCUGCCUAUUAAUGGGGGACAACAUCUCGAAAGGGAUGCUAAUACCGCAUACGCCCUACGGGGGAAAGCAGGGGAUCACUUGUGACCCUGCGUUAAUAGAUGAGCCUAAGUCGGAUUAGCUAGUUGGUGGGGUAAAGGCCUACCAAGGCGACGAUCUGUAGCGGGUCUGGGAGGAUGAUCCGCCACACUGGGACUGAGACACGGCCCAGACUCCUACGGGAGGCAGCAGUGGGGAAUAUUGGACAAUGGGGGGAACCCUGAUCCAGCCAUGCCGCGUGUGUGAAGAAGGCCUUAUGGUUGUAAAGCACAUUAAGCGAGGAGGAGGCUCUUUUGGUUAAUACCCAAGAUGAGUGGACGUUACUCGCAGAAUAAGCACCGGCUAACUCUGUGCCAGCCGCCGCAGUAA
rnacentral:rRNA from 1 species